rnacentral:rRNA from 1 species
CCUACGGGAGGCAGCAGUGAGGAAUAUUGGUCAAUGGUCGGAAGACUGAACCAGCCAUGCCGCGUGAGGGAUGAAGGCACUGAGUAUUGUAAACCUCUUUUGUCAGGGGGCAAACGUGAAGACGCGUAUCCGGAUGAGUGUACUUUAAGAAAAAGCAUCGGCUAACUCCGUGCCAGCAGCCGCGGUAAUACGGAGGAUGCGAGCGUUAUCCGGAUUUAUUGGGGUUAAAGGGUGCGUAGGCGGUUCGGUAAGUUAGCGGUUAAAGGCCCGGGCCUAACCCCGGAACGGCCUUUAAUACUGUCAGUCUCGAGUGGGGGAGCGGUAGGCGGAAUGCGAGGUGUAGCGGUGAAAUGCUUAGAGAUCGCGCAGAACUCCGAUUGCGAAGGCAGCAUGCCG